AGGACGAACGCUGGCGGCGUGCUUAACACAUGCAAGUCGAGCGGAAAGGCCCUUCGGGGUACUCGAGCGGCGAACGGGUGAGUAACACGUGAGUAAUCUGCCCCUAGCUCUGGGAUAGCUCCGGGAAACCGGGAUUAAUACCGGAUACGACCACCUUAGACAUCUUUUGUGGUGGAAAGAAUUUCGGCUAGGGAUGAGCUCGCGGCCUAUCAGCUUGUUGGUGGGGUAACGGCCUACCAAGGCGACGACGGGUAGCCGGCCUGAGAGGGCGACCGGCCACACUGGGACUGAGACACGGCCCAGACUCCUACGGGAGGCAGCAGUGGGGAAUAUUGCGCAAUGGGCGAAAGCCUGACGCAGCGACGCCGCGUGCGGGAUGAAUGCCUUCGGGUUGUAAACCGCUUUCAGCAGGGACGAAAUUGACGGUACCUGCAGAAGAAGCCCCGGCAACUACGCGCCAGCAGCCGC
rnacentral:rRNA from 1 species